rnacentral:rRNA from 1 species
UACGGGGGGGGCAAGCGUUGUUCGGAAUUACUGGGCGUAAAGGGCUUGUAGGUGGCCAACUAAGUCAGACGUGAAAUCCCUCGGCUUAACCGGGGAACUGCGUCUGGUACUGGAUGGCUUGAGUGUGGGAGAGGGAUGCGGAAUUCCAGGUGUAGCGGUGAAAUGCGUAGAUAUCUGGAGGAACACCGGUGGCGAAGGCGGCAUCCUGGACCAUUACUGACACUGAAAAGCGAAAGCCAGGGGAGCAAACGGG